GCAUAACGCGAAGAACCUUACCAAGGCUUGACAUAUACGAGAACGGGCCAGAAAUGGUCAACUCUUUGGACACUCGUAAACAGGUGGUGCAUGGUUGUCGUCAGCUCGUGUCGUGAGAUGUUGGGUUAAGUCCCGCAACGAGCGCAACCCUCGUUCUAUGUUGCCAGCACGUAAUGGUGGGAACUCAUGGGAUACUGCCGGGGUCAACUCGGAGGAAGGUGGGGAUGACGUCAAAUCAUCAUGCCCCUUAUGUCUUGGGCUUCACGCAUGCUACAAUGGCCGGUACAAAGGGCUGCAAUACCGUAAGGUGGAGCGAAUCCCAAAAAGCCGGUCCCAGUUCGGAUUGAGGUCUGCAACUCGACCUCAUGAAGUCGGAGUCGCUAGUAAUCGCAGAUCAGCAACGCUGCGGUGAAUACGUUCCCGGGUCUUGUACACACCG
rnacentral:rRNA from 1 species